GAUGAAGAACGCAGCGAAAUGCGAUAAGUAAUGUGAAUUGCAGAAUUCAGUGAAUCAUCGAAUCUUUGAACGCACAUUGCGCCCCUUGGUAUUCCGGGGGGCAUGCCUGUUCGAGCGUCAUUUCAACCCUCAAGCUCUGCUUGGUAUUGGGCACCGUCCUUUGAGGGCGCGCCUCAAAGACCUCGGCGGUGGCGUCUUGCCUCAAGCGUAGUAGAAUACACCUCGCUUCGGAGCGUAAGGCGUCGCCCGCCGGACGAACCUUCUGAACUUUUCUCAAGGUUGACCUCGGAUCAGGUAGGGAUACCCGCUGAACUUAAGCAUAUCAAUAAGCGGAGGA
rnacentral:misc_RNA from 1 species